GAAAUGCGAUAAGUAGUGUGAAUUGCAGAAUUCAGUGAAUCAUCGAAUCUUUGAACGCACAUUGCGCCCUUUGGUAUUCCUUAGGGCAUGCCUGUUCGAGCGUCAUCUAAACCUUCAAGCCCUGCUUGGUGUUGGGUGCCUGUCCCGCCUCCGCGCGCGGACUCACCUCAUAUCCAUUGGCGGCCCCCGCGUCGGCCACGAGCGCAGCAGAAACGCGAACUCGUGAGCCCGUCCGGGCGGCUCCCAGAAGCUACACCCACCCAGUUUGACCUCGGAUCAGGUAGAGAUACGCGCUGAACAUAAGC
rnacentral:misc_RNA from 1 species